rnacentral:rRNA from 1 species
UUGAACGCUGGCGGCAGGCCUAACACAUGCAAGUCGAGCGGAAACGACAACAUUGAAUCUUCGGAGGAUUUGUUGGGCGUCGAGCGGCGGACGGGUGAGUAAUGCCUAGGAAAUUGCCUUGAUGUGGGGGAUAACCAUUGGAAACGAUGGCUAAUACCGCAUAAUGCCUACGGGCCAAAGAGGGGGACCUUCGGGCCUCUCGCGUCAAGAUAUGCCUAGGUGGGAUUAGCUAGUUGGUGAGGUAAUGGCUCACCAAGGCGACGAUCCCUAGCUGGUCUGAGAGGAUGAUCAGCCACACUGGAACUGAGACGCGGUCCAGACUCCUACGGGAGGCAGCAGUGGGGAAUAUUGCACAAUGGGCGAAAGCCUGAUGCAGCCAUGCCGCGUGUAUGAAGAAGGCCUUCGGGUUGUAAAGUACUUUCAGUUGUGAGGAAGGGUGUGUAGUUAAUAGCUGCGCAUCUUGACGUUAGCAACAGAAGAAGCACCGGCUAACUCCGUGCCAGCAGCCGCGGUAAUAC